AACUGAUACUACCUGCGGGAACCUGCGGAGGGAUCAUUAAUGAGAAACUGCCCCUCGCGGGUAGAUCUCCCACCCUUUGUAAACUUACCUUUGUUGCUUUGGCAGGCCCGUCUCCGGACCGCCGGCUUCGGCUGGCCAGUGCCUGCCAGAGGAUUCUAAAACUCUGUCUGUCAGUGUUGUCUGAGUCUAUAUACAAUCGUUAAAACUUUUAACAAUGGAUCUCUAGAUCGGAAGAGCACA
rnacentral:misc_RNA from 1 species